rnacentral:rRNA from 1 species
GUGUAAACGCUGCGGGCUUGGUGUUGGGGGUCCUUUGAGGGCGCCCAGUGCCGGAGAGAAGUUGUUAAGCCUGCUGCUUGGGGAGUACGUCCGCAAGGAUGAAACUUAAAGGAAUUGGCGGGGGAGCACCGCAACGGGAGGAGCGUGCGGUUCAAUUGGAUUCAACGCCGAAAAACUCACCAGGAGCGACGGAUAUAUGAAGGUCAAGCUGAUGACUUUACCUGAUUUUCCGAGAGGUGGUGCAUGGCCGUCGUCAGUUCGUACCGUAAGGCGUUCUCUUAAGUGAGAUAACGAACGAGACCCUCACCAUUAAUUGCUAGUCCUUUCUCCGGAGGGGGCGCACAUUAAUGGGACCGCUGGCGCUAAGUCAGAGGAAGGAGAGGUCAACGGUAGGUCCGUAUGCCCCGAAUCCCCUGGGCAACACGCGCGCUACAAAGGGUGGGACAAUGGGCUUCGACACCGAAAGGUGAAGACAAUCCUCAAACCCAUCCAUAGUUCGGAUCGGGGGCUGUAACCCGCCCCCGUGAAGCUGGAUUCCGUAGUAAUCGCUUGUCAACAUCAAGCGGUGAAUAUGCCCCUGCUCCUUGCACACACCGCCCGUCAAACCACCCGAGUUGGGUUUCAGUAAGGAUGUCUCUAAUUGGGGCUUUCGAACUGAGAUUCAGCAAGGAGGGUUAAGUCGUAACAAGGUAUCUGUAGGGGAACCUGCAGAUGGAUCACCUCCUA